UACGGAGGAUGCAAGCGUUAUCCGGAAUGAUUGGGCGUAAAGCGUCCGCAGGUGGCUAUGUAAGUCUGCUGUUAAAGAGUCUAGCUCAACUAGAUAAGAGCAGUGGAAACUACAAGGCUAGAGUACGUUCGGGGCAGAGGGAAUUCCUGGUGUAGCGGUGAAAUGCGUAGAGCUCGGGAAGAACAUCGGUGGCGAAAGCGCUCUGCUGGACUGCAACUGACACUCAGGGACGAAAGCUAGGGGAGCGAAUGGG
rnacentral:rRNA from 1 species